GGCCUCCUGGUACUUCCCACAGGCUGUGUUUUUACACUUAUUGUACAGAAAGAAGAGGCAGAGUGAACCCACCCCAUAUACACCCCAGCCAGGACCCUUUGCCUGGUAUGUGCUGUGAAUGGGGUUGG